GCGUCUUUCAGCGGCGGAGCGCGCCAGGCAGAGCCGGAUCAUGUACAUGAGUAGGCCUGGGAUGCGCAGCAGGUCCAUGGCGUUACCGAUAAAGGCUGAGGCAAUGACGUAGUUCACGAAGAAAGCGCCGUUGUCGGGCAGGAACACACACCUAAGGGCAGCAGGUGCUCCAGCACUGCACCCUUGGGGUGAUCUGGUGGCUGUCUGUCCACUGCUAGCAUGACAGCACCCCAUGCUCUCGCUCUCUGUGACCUCCUCUACAUGUACACCCCCAGCUUAGACCCCCCCAAUACCCGUGCCCUAGUCUUUCCACAGUAUGAACCCCAGAAUAUCAAAAUAACAAAGCCAGCCCAGAGACCUACCUAGAUGGCAUGCCCUGAAAACAUCCAAGGAGAGAGUUCAAGGCCACCAGCAUAUGCAGCAAAUAAUUGCUGAGAGCUGAGACCUCCACGGAAAAUCUCAACGGCACUCUCUGAGAUCCCCAGGGAUGUAAGCCCCAACCAACGGGCUUGGUGACGUUGAACUUGUCCAUGGUGGUGAUGAUGAUGGCCGGGGUGGUGAGGAAGAAGAGCAGAAUGAAGAGGACCACAUUGAUGACCAGGCAGCGCAGCCACCAGAUGAAGCCUCGGAUGGAGAGGUGUUCCCUGGGGAGGUGGGGGAGGGGGCACUUUGA
rnacentral:lncRNA from 1 species